rnacentral:rRNA from 1 species
CCUACGGGGGGCUGCAGUGAGGAAUAUUGGUCAAUGGGCGGAAGCCUGAACCAGCCAUGCCGCGUGCAGGAAGACGGCCCUACGGGUUGUAAACUGCUUUUCCGGGGGAAGAAUAAGGGCGACGUGUCGCCCGAUGCCGGUACCCCGGGAAUAAGGAUCGGCUAACUCCGUGCCAGCAGCCGCGGUAAUACGGAGGAUCCGAGCGUUAUCCGGAUUUACUGGGUUUAAGGGGUGCGCAGACGGGCGCGGUGAAAUACGGGGGCUCAACCUUCGAACGGCCGUUGAGACUGGGCGCCUUGGAUUCGGUCGAGGCGGGCGGAAUGCGACAUGUAGCGGUGAAAUGCUUAGAUAUGUCGCAGAACGCCGAUUGCGAAGGCAGCUCGCCAGGCCGACAUUGACGCUGAGGCACGAAAGCGUGGGGAUCGAACAGGAUUAGAUACCCGAGUAGUC